UGGGGGUGUGAGAGUGAGACAGCCGGAGAUCCUUUGCACUGAGCUCAGGAUGCCAGGAAUUCCUGCAGACUUCCACGGAGCAUGUCUAUUGUGCUCUAAAACAAUAAGGCUUCCCUCAGGUUUGGCAGGUUUUCAAGUGUGGAAAGAAGAAACCCGACAGGCGUGAUUGGCUUUUCUAUCUUACUAACAAGAAAAAGUGUGUCACAAAACAGACUGUACGGAAAACACCUGUUGUUUGUUGUAAACCAGAUGCAAAGACAUUAGUCACAUAAAAAUGAUAACGUCAAUGUCUUAUGACUGACAUGUUUGUGGAAACUGUCUGAAAACCUUGUGAUAAAUCAAAUUCCACAGAUGUAUGUGAGAACAUGUUAUGGGUAAGUAAUUAAUGGGUUUGUUUGACAAUUUUUACAUGCACGCUCCAAAGUUAUUUGACAAAUUGGCUUGUUUAUAUUUUAACUAUAUCUAUAAUCUAAAAUAAAACCCAAAUACAAACAGCUUAGCUUCUACAAGAGAACAUAUUGCAUAUCCUUUAAACGGACGGAACAUUGUGUGCAAAGUUUCGCAUGUAAUUACCAAGUAAUGUCAAAUGAGUAUAUAAGGAAACUGCCAUUUGUUUCCAUCACCUACGUGUGGAUUUUCACACCAAGAACAAACAGACAAUGAAGAUUAAAGUUAAGUUUUGAGUAUUCUUACAUUUUUCACUGUUGUUGUCGAGUGGCAAAAGUCAGGUGUGGUGGUCUCAAGUUUCUCAAGAACACAAUGUGUCAAAAACAUGCAAGUGGCCUUCAAAGAUUACAGAUGAGAGCACUCCCUCUGCGUGACUUGAAAUCUCAGAGAGUGACAUUAUAAUAGAACAAACUAGAAUUUCUGCUGUAGGCUAAGAGACAAAUCACUGCAUAAUAAUAGCUUUGCUUUGCUAACAUUUGAAUUGGCAAAGAAUGACAGAUAUAUCACCACAAAUAUGCAGGAAACUAGGUUGGUGAGCCAAGGACACCCAAUUAUUAAAAAUGUCACUCAUAAUUCAUCAGAACAAGUAACUGAAAUUACAAAACAGAUUAAUUUAACUUUGUUCAUGCAACAUAAUAUACGUAAAGGAUUCAAAGCAAGUACAAAGUAGUGAAUAAAAUGUCUGAAAAAGCGCAGUGAAUUUAACCAAAACUCUACAAAUGUUUCUUAUGAGGUGCCUUUUCAAUAGUUUCUGUCACAGACCAAAAUAUAUACUCAAUGGCCAUUUCAUUAGUAACACCUUGCAGUAGCAUAUGAUGUGAAUGUGAUGUGACUGGUACAUGUGUGGUACUUAUAUGGCUCAUCCACCACAGCCCAAAGGUGCUCUACUGGAUUGAGAUCUGGUGACUGUGGAAACCAUUUGAACUCACUAUCAUGUUCAAGAAACCAGUCUAAGAGCUGAAUACUGAAUAUAUUUGUGAGGUUUGCACAAUGCUCAGUUGGUACUAAGAGGCUGAAACGGUGCCAAAAUAUAAGAAAAUUUAAAAAAUAUAUGAGAAAGUUUUAGUCGGCUGUUGGUCACUCUUAAUCUUUUUAUUUUGUUAAUUUUAUUCAUUGUAUAUCUUAUUGUCUAAUUUACUCAUGUUUUAAUAUUUAAUAUAUAUACUGAUUUGUUUUUAUCUUCUUUUUCACUUAUGUAUUUGUUUUAUUGUUAUUUCAAUUUAUUUCUUUGUCUGCUUAAUGUAUGGUUUUAACUGCUAUCUCUGUUUUAUUAUUGGAAAGCACUUUGGUCAACUUUGUUGUUUUUAAAGUGUUAUAUAAAAAAGUUGGAUUGGUUUGGAAAAAGAAAGCAAAACCUGAAAACUACAAAAUGAGAACAUAAAAAAUGCACAGACAGAGAAUUCCAAAUAAACAAGGAUUUAAAGACCCAAACCAAAAACGUCCGGAUCCGACACGUGCGAAGGACAAUGAGAGGUAAAUAAAGUUAAAUAAUGUGGGAGAAACAGAUCUAGUUUAGUUCCAGUGUUGAUUUGUGUCAGGUGAAUGUGUGAGUAGGCAACUAUUUGAAAAAACAUGAAAAAUAUGUCUGUGUUAUUUUAACAGCUUAUUAAUAAAUGGACUGACAUUUAUAUGGCACUUUUCUACUCGAUGUACUGCUCCAACACUCUUUAACCCUUUUUAACCCAUUUGUACUAGCUUGCUUUUCACGGUAUACCUGAGCAUCUUGUCUAAUGGUCACACUCACACUCCGAUGGAAACAUCGAGGGCAACUUAGGGUUCAGUAUCUUAGCCAAAAAUAUAUUGAUAUGAAGACUGGAGAUUUAUUCUAACUCCUAAACCACAGCGGCCCUAGGCCCUGGGUUUUCACAAAUUUUUUCUUUUCACAGCUCUGCGGACGUGAUGAAUUUCGCUUUUAUUGUUUACCUGCUAAAAUCCUGCAAGCUUCCACUUAAAUCCAAAGCAUGGGUCUAAGGAUGUUGCCAAAAAAGCAGCCAGGUCUUUCUAAGGAAAAUUGUAAGGUGUAUUUAGUGCACGGUUGUGCAUUUAAUCUGUUACAGUUGUUUGUGAAAUAUUAUUUAAAGUGUUAAUGGGAAAUUUCUUAUCCAU
ensembl:lncRNA